rnacentral:tRNA from 1 species
GCCGGGGUAGCUCAGCCAGGUAGAGCGCCGGGCUGUUAACCCGGUGGCCCGGGGUUCGAAUCCCCGCCCCGGCG